GGGUUAUGGUCCGGAGGAACGGUCCUGGGUCCCCAGGCGUUUCAUUCUGGAUCCUCAGUUAAUCUCGGAUUUCCAUCGGGCCCAUCCUGACAAGCCUGGUGGGACGCCGGGUGGCGUCCGUUGAGGGGGGGGUACUGUUAUGGGUCAGUGUCUGUCUCCCUGUCCCAGCCUGUUUUCCUGUUCCCCUUUCCCUUGUGUGUGUGUGUGUGUGUGUGUGUGUGUGUGUGUUGUCUGUGUCUGUCUACAUGUCACUCAAGAGGAUCUAGGUCAAGGGGUGUGGCCAUUCUCACCUGCUCUGCUCCAGCCAGCUGCAGAUCAUUCCAGUAAUCAACCAACACCCAGCUGCAGCUCAUUCCAGUACUCAACCAACAGUUAUCUACCCGGGCUGUUCACCUCUUCAGCGCCAGUUCGUUGCAACCAUUCCUGUGUUCCCACCUCUGGACCUGCUGCUUCUCGGUUCUCAUCUGCCUCCUCGCUGCCUGCUCACCUCGCAACUCCGUUCUCAACCAGCCUUCCACCCAGCUCUCGUCUUCGCUGCCUGGCCACACACCCGCCGUCGGAUCUCCAGCUUCGACUCCACCUGGAGCUGCUCUCCUGGCCAUUCCCUCCUGCACUAUCCACAUUGUGUCCAAUAAAACACUGCUAACUGCU